rnacentral:rRNA from 1 species
UACGUAGGCAGCAAGCGUUGUUCGGAGUUACUGGGCGUAAAGGGUGUGUAGGCGGUUCUUUUAAGUUUGGUGUGAAAUCUCCCGGCUUAACCGGGAGGGUGCGCCGAAUACUGAGGGACUAGAGUACGGGAGAGGAAAGUGGAAUUCCUGGUGUAGCGGUGAAAUGCGUAGAUAUCAGGAGGAACACCGGUGGUGUAGACGGCUUUCUGGACCGUAACUGACGCUGAGACACGAAAGCGUGGGUAGCAAACAGG